CCCGUCACACCACGGGAGUUGGGAGUACCCGAAGUAGGUUGCCUAACCGCAAGGAGGGCGCUUCCUAAGGUAAGACCGAUGACUGGGGUGAAGUCGUAACAAGGUAGCCGUAUCGGAAGGUGCGGCUGGAUCACCUCCUUU
rnacentral:rRNA from 1 species